rnacentral:rRNA from 1 species
CUCAGUAACUCUUAUUUUAUUUGAUGUAUUAGGAUUAUAACUAUGUUAAAUUAUAGAUAACAAUAAUACAAUAAGAAUAAGAUCUAUCAGUUAGUUGUUAAGGUAAUGGCUUAACAAGACUAUGACGGAUAACGGUAUUACUUUGUAAUAUUCCGGAGAAGGAGCCUGAGAGAUUGCUACUAAGUCUAAGGAUUGCAGCAGGGGCGAAACUUGACCUAUGAUAUGAUAUUGAGGCAGUUAUGAGUAGUAUUUUUAAUUAUUGUAGUAUUGUAAGUAUAUACUACAAGAUAAAUCGGAGGGCAAAUCGAGUGCCAGCAGCCGCGGUAAUACUUGUUCCGAUAGUGUGUAUGAUGAUUGAUGCAGUUAAAAAGUCUGUAGUUUAUGAUUAAUAAGCAUUGUGAGGUAUAUUGUAUGGUUAGGAGAGAGAUGAAAUGUGAUAACCCUAACUGGAUGAACAGAAGCGAAAGCUAUAUACUU